GGUAUCCAAAGACCCAAUUCCCAAAUCCAGGUGGCAAUUCCCACGACCGACCUCUGCUAAAUCCUUGUCCAGACAUAUGCAUGAUCACAAAGGGUAAGUCCUAAUCCCAACUACCUAUAAUAAGCAUGGACGCGCCAGUUUAUCCUAAUGCCUUUUUGGACUCUUUUACUCGAUAAAACAAUUGAAAACUGGUUGGUUCCCAUGAGCAUCAUUAACCAUGCUCUGAUACCAAACUU
rnacentral:lncRNA from 1 species